rnacentral:rRNA from 1 species
GACGAACGCUGGCGGCGUGCCUAAUACAUGCAAGUCGAGCGAGCCCUUCGGGGCAAGCGGCGGACGGGUGAGUAACACGUGGGCAACCUGCCCGUAAGACGGGGAUAACGCUCGGAAACGAGCGCUAAUACCGGAUGCACAGAAGUGAGGCAUCUUGCUUCUGGGAAAGGCGGAGCAAUCUGCCGCUUACGGAUGGGCCUGCGGCGCAUUAGCUAGUAGGUGAGGUAAAAGCUCACCUAGGCGACGAUGCGUAGCCGACCUGAGAGGGUGAUCGGCCACACUGGGACUGAGACACGGCCCAGACUCCUACGGGAGGCAGCAGUAGGGAAUCUUCCGCAAUGGGCGCAAGCCUGACGGAGCAACGCCGCGUGAGUGAUGAAGGUUUUCGGAUCGUAAAGCUCUGUUGCCAGAGAAGAACGGUCAGGAGAGUAACUGCUCUUGAUUUGACGGUAUUUGAGAAGAAAGCCCCGGCUAACUACGUGCCAGCAGCCGCGGUAAUACGUAGGGGGCAAGCGUUGUCCGGAAUUAUUGGGCGUAAAGCGCGCGCAGGCGGCCGUUUAAGUCUGGUGUAUAACCCCGGGGCUCAACCCCGGGUCGCAUUGGAAACUGGAGGGCUUGAGUGCAGGAGAGGGAAGUGGAAUUCCACGUGUAGCGGUGAAAUGCGUAGAGAUGUGGAGGAACACCAGUGGCGAAGGCGACUUCCUGGCCUGUAACUGACGCUGAGGCGCGAAAGCGUGGGGAGCAAACAGGAUUAGAUACCCUGGUAGUCCACGCCGUAAACGAUGAGUGCUAGGUGUUAGGGGUUUCGAUACCCUUGGUGCCGAAGUCAACACAGUAAGCACUCCGCCUGGGGAGUACGGUCGCAAGACUGAAACUCAAAGGAAUUGACGGGGACCCGCACAAGCAGUGGAGUAUGUGGUUUAAUUCGAAGCAACGCGAAGAACCUUACCAGGUCUUGACAUCCCUUUGAAUAUCCUAGAGAUAGGGUAGGCCUUCGGGACAGAGGAGACAGGUGGUGCAUGGUUGUCGUCAGCUCGUGUCGUGAGAUGUUGGGUUAAGUCCCGCAACGAGCGCAACCCUUGAUUUUAGUUGCCAGCGCGUGAAGGUGGGCACUCUAGAAUGACUGCCGGUGACAAACCGGAGGAAGGCGGGGAUGACGUCAAAUCAUCAUGCCCCUUAUGACCUGGGCUACACACGUACUACAAUGGCCGGUACAACGGGAAGCGAAGGAGCGAUCCGGAGCGAAUCUUGAAAAGCCGGUCUCAGUUCGGAUUGCAGGCUGCAACUCGCCUGCAUGAAGUCGGAAUUGCUAGUAAUCGCAGAUCAGCAUUGCUGCGGUGAAUACGUUCCCGGGUCUUGCACACACCGC